GAAGGAUCUCCUAUCGGCUGGAUUUCACGACACAUAGCAUCACACCAGCACCCAGAAAUCUGUGGGUUAACAGAAGCAACUGUGCCCGGAUGGUUGUGCAGUUAAAACUCUCUGCCUGUUGUCUUUCUACUCAGAAGGCAGUUUGGCGAGACUUUCUGUCUAGCAUGCCCACUUCCUUCUUGCACCUUAGACUGCUCCAGUGCCUCCUUGGAAUGAGCGUUUCCUGUGUAGGAGUCUAAAGCCAGCCUGACAGUUCCCCCGGGAAGUGGCCUCAAAUGCAGACCUGGCUAUAGCCGGUCUAAUGAAGAACGCUGCAAAGCAGUGGAUGUUCCAGUUCCCAGAUGUUUUUGUACAGGAAUUUCCAGAGCUGCUUGUAUCCUUCCAGAGUUUCUGGUAUCGUUUCCUCUAAAGCCAGAACCAUGUGGCCGAAGCUGCCAAGUUUGUGUGCUUGCUGGGGCUGGAACCUGGCCCCCUUGGUCAAAUACAUUUUCCUUCACUGCUUCA